GGGCAGAUAGCUCAGUUGGUAGAGCACAGGACUGAAAAUCCUGGUGUCGGGGGUUCAAUUCCCCCUCUGCCCA
rnacentral:tRNA from 1 species